rnacentral:rRNA from 1 species
CAGCAGCCGCGGGAAUACGUAGGUGGCAAGCGUUGUCCGGAAUUAUUGGGCGUAAAGGGCUCGCAGGCGGUUUCUUAAGUCUGAUGUGAAAGCCCCCGGCUCAACCGGGGAGGGUCAUUGGAAACUGGGAAACUUGAGUGCAGAAGAGGAGAGUGGAAUUCCACGCGUAGCGGUGAAAUGCGUAGAGAUGUGGAGGAACACCAGUGGCGAAGGCGACUCUCUGGUCUGUAACUGACGCUGAGGAGCGAAAGCGUGGGGAGCGGACAGGAUUAGAUACCCCGGUAGUCCCUGUCUCUUAUAC